ACCUUUUCUAUAACCUUUCUAUUAAUAUUUUAGGAGUAGAAAAAAAUUCAUACUGGAGGUGAAAUGAAUUAUGUUGGGUAUAUAAAUAAAGUUCGGGGCCUAGUUGAGAACUGCACCUUCAUGUUUAUAGCUUGUUUCUAACUGUACGAAGGUAUAGCACUUCUCCCUAAGAAUGCCAACCAUCAUGAGGAUGUAAACCAAGAAAUCUUCGUCAAAUGAAGAAAUGUUGAAGACAGUGGUUACUGUAACAGUAUGCACAGUGUGAUUCAUUUUUUUGUAUAAUAAUAUGUAAUUAUCAUUCAACAAAUAGAUACUGAGCACCUACUAUGUACCUACCGAUAGAAAAAUAUAUCCCUGAAAGUCUGAAAGAAUUAACACUGGGAAUAAUCUAUCUACUUCAAUCUAUGUGUCUAUCUGCAUCUAUCAAGUGGCCUAAAGGGAUAAGGAGACUGGCUGGGUUUUCUGCCUUCACAUAGGGAAUACACUGUUAUACAGCAUACUUGAAUCAAGGUAGAUCUAGAGUUAUGGCGUCACUAUAGAUAAAUUAGAAAAAAUUAUGCUAGGAUAAUUUAGGAACUGUCCAAUAAAUUCUAUAAACAUUACCUAAAAGUCAAUGAUAAAGAAAAUUUAAAAUAUCUAGAAAGGUUAUCUGUCUAUAUUAGCCUUCCAACUUGUAUGCCCACUUCCACCCCAACACACAUACCCUGCACAAUUACAAUCAUAUUGAUAUUGAUGUCGUCUGCAACCAUCACCCCACUAUACUCAAUUUCUCCUAAAUUCUACAUGUCUUGGUUUAUCUAUAACGCCUUGGACCUUCAUAUAAUUUAUUUACUUAUUUUUAAUUUGGGAAAGGCUUAUUUGCCUUUAAAUCAGAUAAUUUAUAAUUAAAAUAAUUAUUACAUUUUAAGAUAUUAAGUGUCUCUGUUGGGAGCCUAUCAACUUCUGGUCAUUUUGUCACCCUGUUCUUCCCACAACUCCCUGAGCUGUUUCCCUUGUUAGAGGGAAUUGGUUUAGUUGUGCCUGUGCAGAGAGGUUUUUGUUUGUUUGGUAUUUGGGUUUGUUUUGGUUUGUUUUUGUUUUUGUUUUUGUUUUUUGGCGUAAGACUUUCUUAACUUGUGGGCUUCUUUUACUGAGAAUGUUAGAUUUGUUAGGAACCUAUGAAAUGUCUAUUUUGGAGGUAUAAGUGGAGAUAGCACGAUUAAUCUCACCCCCCAUCUUU
rnacentral:lncRNA from 1 species